UCGACUCGGUAUCGAUGGCAAUGUCAGUGAAAGCUGACGUAUGGAGGUAGUCUGACUAACGUCAGGACGGCAUACGCCGCGAACAGCUCUGCGAGCUGGGGAACCUCGUAAAAACUCAACAUGUUGUCACCCCGAUGCACAGAUACCCGUCG
ncrna:Escherichia coli LF82 EFASI RNA